rnacentral:sRNA from 1 species
AUGGGUGCACCUCCUGAACAACCAGCUUGGACAGCCGGUAAAGCCAUUGAUGGUAACACUAACCAGAACUACUUUUCAAACUCCUGUGCUAUAACGGACUUUGACAGAAACCGUAAUACUUCUAUAUGGUGGACUGUUUGGAUGAGAAAACAAUUCAACGUGGCUUAUAUGGAGAUUUACUUCAGAUCUGAUACAUUUAAAAGAUCAACGGGAUUUUCCAUUUACACGUAUAUCCCACAAAAUUUCUAUCCAUUGUCUGAUCCAAAAUAUCUGGUGUACCACCAUGAUCCCUUGUCUGGAUGUCCAUCGUCUGUUAUGAAUAUCACAGUCAAUAAUAUUACACAAGGGAUCGCGUUCAUCAACACACGACCACACGGAUAUAUAUCCAACUGUCCGGGAGAUAAUACCAUGUAUACAGGGAUAGAAAUAUGUGAAAUAAGAGUAAUGGGUUGUGAUAUAUGGAGGUAUUCAGACGAUUGUACCCGGAGUUGUUCAUCUAAAUGUAGUGGAGGUUGUGACGCCUUCAAUGGAUCCUGUAUACAUGGGUGUUCUGAUCCUAACGCUCUCACCAUUGACUGCAUUGUUUGUCCCCAAAACUACUACGGCAGGGACUGUAAAACUCCGUGUGGGCAUUGUAAAGGUAACGAUGUUUGCAACAACAUCACAGGCCACUGUCCUAAUGGCUGUCAGUCUCAGUGGCAGGGAGACAGGUGUGAUGAAUGUGUAAAUGGAUUUUACAACGCGUCAUGCACUGGAAUAUGCGGUCAAUGUAUUAAUGCUCAGUUAUGUGACAAGGUGAACGGCUAUUGUCCAAGUGGAUGUACUUCAAACUUUCAAGCUCCUUUAUGUCAAGUAUGCGAAGACGGAUAUUACGGACAUAUGUGUAACCAAACAUGUGGUUUAUGUAAAGAUGGACAGGCAUGCAAUAAACACAAUGGAACUUGUUUUAAUGGUUGUGUUACUAACUCUCAGCCACCACAAUGUAAAGUGUGUGAAGAUGGUUUCUACAACGCCAACUGUACCGGCAGAUGUGGCCAUUGCCAGAAUAAACAAACAUGUGAUAAGGAAAGUGGAAGUUGUUUCAAUGGUUGCAGUUCAAACUUCCAAAGUCCUUUGUGUCAAGAAUGUAUACCUUACAAGUACGGCCCUAACUGUGUGUUUGACUGUGGUCACUGUAAGGACGGGAUGACAUGUUCUACAGACACGGGUCUGUGUACGAAAGGUUGUGAGGACGGAUGGACCGGGGACCUCUGUCUGAAAGUUAAAAUAGAUGCUGCAGAAUCUCUAAAACAAAGUGAAGAAAUGCCAACCACUGGAACGGUUGCAAUAGCGGUCCUCUCAACUUUGUUGGUAAUUUCAAUACUUAUCAUUAUAUUCAUGGGACGAAAGCUUAUUUCAAAUCAAACCAACAAACGCCACACAGCUAUCCCAAUGUCUCAAAAACAAGACUCUUCGCAAACCUAUACUGAUUUAACAGGUACAGACGAAACGCAUGCGUACUCAACGCUUGGCUCUGAUGUUCGUGAGGCACCUUAUCAAGUGAUCAGUGAUGCUUCUCACAAGAUAAAAUAACUGCCCUGUUAACUAGAUCAUA